UUGUUUGGUACCACCAUAGGUCGGCGAAAAAUAUGGAGCUCACUCAAAUUCACUCAUGAAAUAUCUUUUUGCCUUAGGGCUCAGUCGGAAUCAGACUCA
rnacentral:lncRNA from 1 species